GACGAACGCUGGCGGCGUGCUUAACACAUGCAAGUCGAACGAAGUGGCGAACGGGUGAGUAAUACGUGAGUAACCUGCCCUCCUUUUUGGGAUAAGCCUUGGAAACGGGGUCUAAUACCGGAUAAAGGGGGAUGGGCUCGCGGCCUAUCAGCUUGUUGGUGGGGUGAUGGCCUACCAAGGCGGGGACGGGUAGCCGGCCUGGGAGGGUGACCGGCAACAUUGGGAUUGGGAUACGGCCCAGACUCCUACGGGAGGCAGCAGUGGUGGAUGUUGCACAAUGGGCGCAAGCCUGAUGCAGCGACGCCGCGUGAGGGAUGAAGGCUUUCGGGUUGGAAACCUCUUUCGGUACAGAACGGGUAUGUGCAGAAGAAGCGCCGGCUAACUACGUGCCAGCAGCCGCGGUAAUAC
rnacentral:rRNA from 1 species